GAUGAACGCUGGCGGCGUGCUUAACACAUGCAAGUCGAACGGUGAACGAGGGAGCUUGCUCCCUCCGGAUCAGUGGCGAACGGGUGAGUAACACGUGAGCAAUCUGCCCUGGACUCUGGGAUAAGCGUUGGAAACGACGUCUAAUACCGGAUACGAGGCGUGGGGGCAUCCCCAACGCCUGGAAAGAACUUCGGUCCAGGAUGAGCUCGCGGCCUAUCAGCUAGUUGGUGAGGUAACGGCUCACCAAGGCGACGACGGGUAGCCGGCCUGAGAGGGUGACCGGCCACACUGGGACUGAGACACGGCCCGGACUCCUACGGGAGGCAGCAGUGGGGAAUAUUGCACAAUGGGCGCAAGCCUGAUGCAGCAACGCCGCGUGAGGGACGACGGCCUUCGGGUUGUAAACCUCUUUUAGCAGGGAAGAAGCGAAAGUGACGGUACCUGCAGAAAAAGCACCGGCUAACUACGUGCCAGCCGCCGCAGUAAUAC
rnacentral:rRNA from 1 species